GGUUCAUAAUGGUGGCAGUGCACGGCAACUAGAAAAAUGUUUUGCUGGACACAAGGUAUCAUCAUAGUCCCAUAUAGAAAAUCAUGAUCAAACUACAAUGCAGCCAUGUUUAUGUGUUUACUUGUUGCUAUCUCAGAAUGUUGUGCGAAACCAAGAAGCUUUUGUUCAUAGUUACACUGCUCAACAAGGGGAAACAAAUUCUGCUACACAUAAGGUAUGUUUCUGUUACCAUACACAAUAUGUUCAAAAUAUAUUGCUCCGUUGUUUAUGUAUCUACUCGUCGUCUUGCUAUAAGAAUGUUGUUCAGAACAAAGAAACUUUGCUUCAAAAUGUCCGUACACAACAGGGAGAAAAAACGUUUGGUGCAAACAAAGUGGUAUCUUUUCAUAAUCGCAUACACAUUUAUGUUCAAACUAUAGUGCUAAAUUGUUUAUUUUCUUAUUAUUUUUUCUUUGCUAUCAAACUCUUGUCCAGAACAAAAAAAA
rnacentral:lncRNA from 1 species